ensembl:snRNA U6 U6 spliceosomal RNA
GUGCUCGCUUUGGCAGCAUAUAUACUAAAAUAGGAACGGUACAGAGGAGAUUAGCAUGGUCACUGCACAAGGAUGGCAUGCAAAUGUGUGAAGCAUUCCAUAGUUUG